rnacentral:lncRNA from 1 species
UUUUUCUGGCAAGGUAAGAUGGUUUCUGCCCAGCUCAGACGAAACCAAGUUGGAAACAAUUCCUAAUAAUAAGGAAAGGAGUGAGAUGGAAAUGUGAUACACAAAGCAAAAGAACUCCCUCAUCCAUCUUCAUCCUUGUUGCACAUCCUUGCCAUAUUUUAGGUCUGCCCAUCAUCAGAGCAAGCGAUCAAUACGUCUCAGAUACAAUUAAUACAGUGUCUUGCCAAAGUUUUCGCUUUGAGUGCGGCUGGGACAGGAACCGGGCAAUCCAUCAGGUCUUUAUCAAAGUUGGGUGAGACCGCCGCCUGUCGCCGUCCGUAGCAUCCACACUCUGUUUCCUCCGCCGCUUCCCAUCUUCUCCUUCUGCCGUCGCCCGCCGGUCGACCACCAAACCUCCCAAAAUUACGCCAGUGUCCGUCGGUCUACCGCGGACCCUUCCAGGUUCGGCCCCAAUCGCUAUCCUCUCUCACUCUCAUUAUGCCCGUAUUGGAACCCUGGACGAUCUCUAG